rnacentral:rRNA from 1 species
CGGGACACGUGGUAUCCUGUCUGAAUAUGGGGGGACCAUCCUCCAAGGCUAAAUACUCCUGACUGACCGAUAGUGAACCAGUACCGUGAGGGAAAGGCGAAAAGAACCCCGGCGAGGGGAGUGAAAAAGAACCUGAAACCGUGUACGUACAAGCAGUGGGAGCACGCUUAGGCGUGUGACUGCGUACCUUUUGUAUAAUGGGUCAGCGACUUAUAUUCUGUAGCAAGGUUAACCGAAUAGGGGAGCCGAAGGGAAACCGAGUCUUAACUGGGCGUUAAGUUGCAGGGUAUAGACCCGAAACCCGGUGAUCUAGCCAUGGGCAGGUUGAAGGUUGGGUAACACUAACUGGAGGACCGAACCGACUAAUGUUGAAAAAUUAGCGGAUGACUUGUGGCUGGGGGUGAAAGGCCAAUCAAACCGGGAGAUAGCUGGUUCUCCCCGAAAGCUAUUUAGGUAGCGCCUCGUGAAUUCAUCUCCGGGGGUAGAGCACUGUUUCGGCAAGGGGGUCAUCCCGACUUACCAACCCGAUGCAAACUGCGAAUACCGGAGAAUGUUAUCACGGGAGACACACGGCGGGUGCUAACGUCCGUCGUGAAGAGGGAAACAACCCAGACCGCCAGCUAAGGUCCCAAAGUCAUGGUUAAGUGGGAAACGAUGUGGGAAGGCCCAGACAGCCAGGAUGUUGGCUUAGAAGCAGCCAUCAUUUAAAGAAAGCGUAAUAGCUCACUGGUCGAGUCGGCCUGCGCGGAAGAUGUAACGGGGCUAAACCAUGCACCGAAGCUGCGGCAGCGACGCUGAUGCGUUGUUGGGUAGGGGAGCGUUCUGUAAGCCUGUGAAGGUGUGCUGUGAGGCAUGCUGGAGGUAUCAGAAGUGCGAAUGCUGACAUAAGUAACGAUAAAGCGGGUGAAAAGCCCGCUCGCCGGAAGACCAAGGGUUCCUGUCCAACGUUAAUCGGGGCAGGGUGAGUCGACCCCUAAGGCGAGGCCGAAAGGCGUAGUCGAUGGGAAACAGGUUAAUAUUCCUGUACUUGGUGUUACUGCGAAGGGGGGACGGAGAAGGCUAUGUUGGCCGGGCGACGGUUGUCCCGGUUUAAGCGUGUAGGCUGGUUUUCCAGGCAAAUCCGGAAAAUCAAGGCUGAGGCGUGAUGACGAGGCACUACGGUGCUGAAGCAACAAAUGCCCUGCUUCCAGGAAAAGCCUCUAAGCAUCAGGUAACAUCAAAUCGUACCCCAAACCGACACAGGUGGUCAGGUAGAGAAUACCAAGGCGCUUGAGAGAACUCGGGUGAAGGAACUAGGCAAAAUGGUGCCGUAACUUCGGGAGAAGGCACGCUGAUAUGUAGGUGAAGUCCCUCGCGGAUGGAGCUGAAAUCAGUCGAAGAUACCAGCUGGCUGCAACUGUUUAUUAAAAACACAGCACUGUGCAAACACGAAAGUGGACGUAUACGGUGUGACGCCUGCCCGGUGCCGGAAGGUUAAUUGAUGGGGUUAGCGCAAGCGAAGCUCUUGAUCGAAGCCCCGGUAAACGGCGGCCGUAACUAUAACGGUCCUAAGGUAGCGAAAUUCCUUGUCGGGUAAGUUCCGACCUGCACGAAUGGCGUAAUGAUGGCCAGGCUGUCUCCACCCGAGACUCAGUGAAAUUGAACUCGCUGUGAAGAUGCAGUGUACCCGCGGCAAGACGGAAAGACCCCGUGAACCUUUACUAUAGCUUGACACUGAACAUUGAGCCUUGAUG